AAGAAAGAAAAAAAAAAAAAAUUGAAGAAACGUUUGUGUUACUGCUUCAGAAGGACGUUUGCGAGAAGUUCAACUAGCAUUAAUUGUUUGUUUACGUUGAUUUGUUUUAUUUUCAUC
rnacentral:ribozyme from 1 species